AGCAGUAGCCGCGGUAAUACGAAGGGUGCAAGCGUUAAUCGGAAUUACUGGGCGUAAAGCGUGCGUAGGCGGUGAGUUAAGUCUGCUGUGAAAUCCCCGGGCUCAACCUGGGAAUGGCAGUGGAUACUGGCUCGCUAGAGUGUGUCAGAGGAUGGUGGAAUUCCCGGUGUAGCGGUGAAAUGCGUAGAGAUCGGGAGGAACAUCAGUGGCGAAGGCGGCCAUCUGGGACAACACUGACGCUGAGGCACGAAAGCGUGGGGAGCAAACAGGAUUAGAUACCCCGGUAGUCCCUGUCUCUUAUAA
rnacentral:rRNA from 1 species